UACGAAGGGGGCUAGCGUUGUUCGGAUUUACUGGGCGUAAAGCGCACGUAGGCGGAUCGUUAAGUCAGGGGUGAAAUCCUGGGGCUCAACCCCAGAACUGCCUUUGAUACUGGCGAUCUCGAGUCCGGAAGAGGUGAGUGGAACUCCUAGUGUAGAGGUGAAAUUCGUAGAUAUUGGGAAGAACACCAGUGGCGAAGGCGGCUAACUGGUCCGAUACUGACGCUGAGGUGCGAAAGCGUGGGGAGCAAACAGG
rnacentral:rRNA from 1 species